AAAAUAUAGAGUGGGGUGCUCAUUUUCGCCAUAUCUUUCCAUGUUUUCUACAGUUUAUGUUCAGGUCUAUAUGUUUUUGAAGUAUACUGAUAUUUCUAUAUGAAGAUAACUUCAAAUGCAAAACAUUCCUAAGCUUGAAAACAUGUUUUUUUGAAAAAAAAUCAUCUGUAAAGUUAGAUUAAAGGGUGUUUGAAAUUUCCUGAUGUUUUGUCAAUGGGGGACACAUAUUCGCCGUUUUUACACAUCUAUUUAAAACCAAAUAACUGCAGCUUUAUAUAAUAUUUAUCAAAUAAAUUUCAUUAUAGAUGAACAGCAGACAUUUCAAAGGUGUAAAAAACAGAAAGUUAGGCCAAUCAGUCAAAAAAUUACUAAGAAAAAAUUCUUUGAAAAUCCUGUUUUUCAUUCAGGAAAUUGACCGAAAAUCGUUGUCCGUUUUUCGGACCUUUUGCAGUAAGUGCCGUAAUUUUGUUUAAGUUUAAACAAUAAUCAUAUUUGUUAUAAAAUCAUAAUUUAUCGGCAUAUUUCUUCCAUUUCAGCCAUCCUUUGGAGUUUUUACACCCCAAAAUCAUAAAACGGCGAAAUUGUGUCCCCGGCGAAUAUGAGCCCCCCACUCUAU
rnacentral:lncRNA from 1 species